GGAUGGUUUAAGAUGCCAACAAAAUUAUUUACUUGAUGAAUAUAUUACAUCAAAUAUUACAAAUACAUCAUUUAGUUAAAUAAAUAAACAAAAACUGAAAAUUUAUAUCCGCGCUGUCAGGGUGUAGUUACAAUUAUAAUCGAUGAAUCCAACAUUAAAGUUUGUUUUCUAAAAGUAAGGUAGUAAAUGAUGCAUGUACAUAUAACUUUGCCUAUCUUUUUUCUCUCUGUGUUUCAACUAUUAAUGAUACAAUAAAUGAGAUCACUUCCUUUUCAUUAAACGAGUUCACAUUUAACGUUUGAAUAAUGCAAAAGUUCCUCAAAUUAUUGAGGGGCUUUAUAUUAGAUCAUGUCCUACUAUAAAAGUAAAAUAAAGCAGCAACAAUUUGUCAACUUUUGUUUUUGUGAUAACGACACAAUUUAUUCAUGUAGUAAAUGCGUUUUUCUUAAAUAACUAAAAAUGAAUUACACAAUUUGUUUUAAAUCGAUGAAAGUAUAUGCUGAACUACAAGUUUUUUUUUUUGACAAAGGGCUUCUGAAUUAUAAGUUCAUAAUAACUUAUAGUUCAGCAAGAUAACAUACAAUGAUACUUAUUAUAACUGAUGACUGCAUUCUUCGACUUUUAUACUAAACAUUUCAUGAAUCAAUUAUUAAACAAUGUAUGCACAUCCUUCAGUUUGCAGGUUGUUUUGGCCCCAACAUUCUAGAGUGUUUUAUUCACAUCAUAAUUAAAAAUGGUAUAUAAAAUUCAAUUUCGAUGCAUAUAUAUAUACCACAGGUUUUUAGAUUCUUGAAAUAUAGUUAUUUCAUUUUCUUAGUCUGCUAGAUGAGAUCACACAACUGGGCAGUUGGCAGCAUAAAUAAAUUGUCCAAUGACAGACAGGUAGACCUCGUUUAAUUUAAUUCUUGUACUCAGCGAAUUAUAUUGGUAUCUUUUUUCUGUACAAGUUAAACCCUCCGGUUUAUUAUUAUUGAGUGCCGGUUCUCCUCACGGUCUCUCAACUCUUAAUGCAUAUAAAGAAUCUAUAACUGUAAAGUUGAAGCAUCUGCUUUUUUAGGCUGUCCACGUCGUUGUAGAGAAGAGGAGAAAUCGUGACACGUCAGCGUUUCUUAAGUCGUUGUCUUUGGGUUCCAUUGUUUUGUUGGGCCUUACAGCAUGCAGCCCAUCACGUGUUUUAGAACAUAAUGGUGACUAAACGCCCCGUUUAGGAUUAGGUUUACGCGGAGUGCUUCUCGCGUCUCCAGAUCGAAAGGCGACACCUCUUGCGCAGCUGACCUUCCGUCUCCUUCGUCGCAAGCACUCAAAAACCGAUCAAUCAAUCAUCUUUAAUCCCCCCCCCCUUCCAUUAAUCUAUCACCCACGAUCUGGAUUCAAUGCGAUAUUGUUGAUGUGCAAGGCGUUUGAGUCGACUAUAAAAAGAUUUCACGACAUCAUCUUUAUGCUACCCGAGAACUUGGACUGAGAUUGAAAAUAUUGAGCUUUGAUAUGCUUUAAGUUUUAGAUCUUUCAGCCUCAUGUCAUGUUCAUAUGUCUGAUUUUUUGAAAAAAUUGACUGAGUGGAAUAUGCAUUCUUCCGCAAAGGAUCGUGAAUAUGACUCAAAGAGACAUGUAUGUUCAUGAUUGAAACAACGUUGGUUUCGUUUCUUUCUCUGAAUGUGUCUUCUCUUUUGAAUUAAUCCAUGGACGAGAGCAAGCUCAAGAGAUGCUCCACUUCAUCCACCUAUGCUGAAGCAGCUGAUUAGGCGACAGAUCCUUUGCAAAAAGCUAAGAAAAUAAUUGAGUUACACACUUUCUGAGAUGCUUUUGUGGUCCAUAUUAUUUUAAUCUAAUUGAGCAUGCGGCUCUGUAACAUGUAAUACAGAGAGCGUAGGUACAGAGCUUUUGGAGUCUUGUUUUUUUUUUUGUUGUCAAUGGAGGAGGAAUCUGAGACAGAAAGCUACUGUUUCUUUUUGGGUAAUGAAGACGACAAGAUCCUUUGUUCUCUGUAAUGGCCAUAAAUAAAUAUAGAUAACAAAAAUAAA